GGGCCCAGAACAUUGAAGACAACCUCCAAAUGAGGAAGAGGGGGGCUUGAUCUGCUAAGAUUAGGAUUCCAUUUGUGCAUUCGGGGAUUUUGGGGCAAUCCGAUUUGGGGGUUUCUCGGCUACGAUUUGGUGAGUUAAAUCUUGUUUAGCAUGUCUCGAUUUGGUUUGGUGAUUAUUCAUUGGCUUUGGUUUGGUGAUUAUUCAUUGUCUUGCAUGUUUCGAUUUCUCCUUCGAAAUUGGAGAAGUUAGAGUGCUGCUAUUGUGGGUAUAUUGAUCUCUGAUUCCAAGCUCUUUGGUUAAAGGCGUUCUUCUUCAGCAAACCCUUCAGGCCAUUGUUGCUAUCAUUUUGUUCACGAAAAUCGGACAUGGUCUUCGAUUUCAGGUUUCGAUUGUAAAUUAUGGCGAGAAUUGCAUACCCAUAAAAUUUCGCAGACAGGGCUGCUAGGUGCUUUCGUUAUCAAAAAGCUUUAUUUUGCAAGGCACUGGACAAAUCAUGAGGUUGCUCUUAUGAUGCUCAUGGCAUACCUUUCAUAUAUGCUGGCUGAACUAUUCUAUUAUAGUGGCAUUCUCACUGUAUUCUUUUGUGGGAUUGUGAUGUCAAUAUGGAUGCCUUGGACAUUGAAAAGUGGAAAAUUUUAAGUGAUAGAUGGUGCUUCUUUUAGUUUUAUCUUUGAUUGAACUCAUGUUUAGCAUAUGGUGCUCGAUCUUGUAUGUGAAGUCCUGGAACAUAGGUUGCAGUAAAUUCAAUACUACUAAGUCUUGUUACGCUUGGAAGAGCAGCUUUUGUUUUUCCCUUAUCCUUCUUGUCAAACUUAUCCAAGAAAAAUCAAAGCGAGAAAAUUAGCCUCCAGCAGCAAGUGGUAAUAUGGUGGCUGGUCUUAUGAGAGAUGUUGUGUCUAUUGCGCUUGCUUAUAAUCAGGCAAGUUGUGGAAAAUGUUCCUUUUUAGGUUGUUGUAGGUUUAAAUCUACCCAAGUAGGGAAAAGGGAAAAAAUUGGCAUUCCAUGAAAAGGCUACUAAAUCAGAACAAAUAUAAUCUUGCAAAAUACUGUAUGAGGUCUAUGGUUUUGCUAGCUCAUAUUUCUUGCUUACCGAUUUGAGUUUUCAUAUCUUAAGGUAGAUUUAUGUUUAAUUUGGUGUGUUUUGGUAGACCUAUAUGAUAGACAG